GACGAACGCUGGCGGCGUGCUUAACACAUGCAAGUCGAGCGGAAAGGCCCUUUCGGGGGUACUCGAGCGGCGAACGGGUGAGUAACACGUGAGUAAUCUGCCCUUGGCUUUGGGAUAACCACCGGAAACGGUGGCUAAUACCGGAUAUGACCGCUCCCGGCAUCGGGUGGUGGUGGAAAGUUUUUUCGGCCAGGGAUGUGCUCGCGGCCUAUCAGCUUGUUGGUGGGGUAAUGGCCUACCAAGGCUUCGACGGGUAGCCGGCCUGAGAGGGUGACCGGCCACACUGGGACUGAGACACGGCCCAGACUCCUACGGGAGGCAGCAGUGGGGAAUAUUGGACAAUGGGCGGAAGCCUGAUCCAGCAACGCCGCGUGAGGGAUGACGGCCUUCGGGUUGUAAACCCCUUUCAGUACCGACGAAGCGCCGAUGAUGGUGGUGACGGUAGGUACAGAAGAAGCACCGGCCAACUACGUGCCAGCAGCCGCCGUAAGAC
rnacentral:rRNA from 1 species